GACGAACGCUGGCGGCGUGCUUAACACAUGCAAGUCGAACGAAGUGGCUAACGGGUCAGUAACGCGUAAUCAACCUGCUCUUCAGAGGGGGACAACAGUUGGAAACGACUGCUAAUCCCGCAUACUGAAGGCGGGGAUUGCGUCUGAUUAGCUAGUUGGAGGGGUAACGGCCCACCAAGGCGAUGAUCAGUAGCCGGGCUGAAAGGAUGAACGGCCAAAUGGGGACUGAGACACGGCCCAGACUCCUACGGGAGGCAGCAGUGGGGAAUCUUCCGCAAUGGACGAAAGUCUGACGGAGCAACGCAGCGUGAGUGAUGACGGCCUUCGGGUUGUAAAGCUCUGUUAAUCGGGACGCGGUACCGGAAUAGAAAGCCACGGCUAACUACGUGCCAGCAGCCGCGGUAAUAC
rnacentral:rRNA from 1 species